UGUGUGAUCUUUUAGCUUUUUGACAUUUAAAGUCAUGUCAUCAUCAAGUAAGUCUGUUCUUCCGAUUAUGAACAAUUAUACUUAUUUAUUGAAAGUAAUCUUGAGCCUGUCUGAAAAUAAGUGAAAGGACACUACCAAUUCCUUCUGGAUCACCCUGCUUUUGGGUGGGAAGAAAUUCACCGUCUCAGAGAUGCACUCUCCACACUCGUAGUAACUGGCAUUAUAUUCAGACAUCUUUAAUGGUGUAACUGGUUGAUUCUUUUCAUUUAUGGCUUGUAUUCACGUGUUUGUCUUUCUGCCCCGGUGCCUGCCAUAUAUAAAUGAAUUUUAAGCCAUUUAAAAUAUGCUGAAUGGUUCUUCUUGGCUUUGUUUCCCACAGAUACAGGCCAGGGGGCAAACCUCCAGCUUGCAGCACUCACUUUGCAGAUCCAGUGCGAAUUAUUUGUAUUGACACUGUCUGCUCUCUCCGCUUUCUCCUUGAAAUGACAAGGAACUGAGUACAGUGGACACUGGCUUCUGUGUCCCCCGCUCCCCCCAAGCCAUGGGCUGCUACAUCAAAGGUCUGCAGUGGGCUGCCCUUCCCAUAAUAUUUCAAUUUAAGCACCGACUCACUUCCGUGGAAUCACAUCUCAUUCACGCUGUGGCCGUUGCAAGAGACAGGGAUCAUUAUGGAGCAAGCACUUAGGAAAAACAGAUUACACCCUGGCCCCGAGCAGCCAGGUUGUACCCCAGAUGCUGCAGGGACAUGGUGCCCGCUCUGGAGAAUGAGCAGCUUCCACAGUGCCCAGGAGCCAGAGUUUCCAACCCAGACUCAGGAGCGAAAGUCUAUCUUUUCCGUUUCUGGGACCUGGAAGUAUUUGCACGACUUUCUGGGCCUCAGGUAUCCCAUUGCCCACCAGGAAUUACCUUCCUCCAGGAUCAUGGUCAAGAUGACCUGAGAUGGUGAUGCUUAGCCUGCGGUUGCUAUUUUUAGUUCUCCACAUUCCUAGAAGGCAUGCAGUUGAGGUUCAUGACAGUAUUCUCUCAACGUGUGAUUCAAAGACAGAGACCGUUUCCCACCCAUCAGUUCUCACACUGCCCCAUUCUGCAGCUUCACCAUCCCUGCACUAAGAAGGCAGGCCC